AUGGUUAGUCCAUUGCUGCCUCCCUCAUAUGUUUUAUGAGAGCCCAUAGAUACAGCACCCUCUAAUUUGAAAUCCUUAAGUUUGAUAGUCUACAUCAGGCUUUGAUUGAAGGUCAUCAUUUUUAAAAGUUAAAAACUCAAGACCUCACAGAUUAUAAUAGAAAAAGAAGUUGUCUCAAUUUGAUCUUGUUCAAGUGACCUUGAUUGGUUUUGCUUUAGGUGCAGCUGUUUAGUUUAGAGUUACAUCACAGAGAGUUACUUUCUGAGAUAAUCUUAAACUAGAAUGUGCAAACCCAAUUGAUAAUUGAAGUAUCAAGAUACGUGGAACACAUCAGACAUCCUCAUGAUCUCCAUUUUAUCCUUCUUAGUAUCUUUAUUACCUUUCAUCUGUUCCUUGUCUCUUUAUUUGGUAUUCAUAUUACUAGUAGUAAAAUAAAAUGAAUUAAUUUUUGUUUUGAUUUGGCUUCAUAGAACAUCUCAAAUUGAAACUUUUCUGCACAAAGAAUACAGUUAGAGGUUUUGUAAACUCAAAUUGGCACCUACUGAAUUAAAAUAUAUAAAAUCAUUUAAAUGUAAUUCAGUGUAUGGAAAAUAACAUUGCACUAAUAUGGAAAUCACUGCCAGAGACAGUCCGUUUUCUUUUAAUUUGUUACUACUUAGGCACAAACCCUACAUGAUUCCAGUUUGGAAUUGCUUAUUAAAGAGAAUUGGAAAUGCACAUGCCCAUGCUUAAAUUUUAUAGCUUUAAUCUGUAUUAUGUCUUUAUUAAUGGAAAGAGGUAGAUCUUUUCUGUUUUCAGUAAAGAAAACAAAUACGCAUUAAUUGCCUCAAAUUUGUGUAAAUGAUUGGCUAGUCUAGAGAUUCUUGUUUCCAGAUGGGAGGGGGUGGUCCAGAUAGCAAAUGACAAAGAUGGCAAUAUACAGUUAAUGUUGUUAUUAUAUGUUGUUACUGAAAUACUUAGAUUUUUAAAAUUUCAAAUCAUAAAUCACUUCUUGUAGGAGGGUUUCUUUCCAUUGAUUAGUUGCAGUAUAUACAGUUCACUACAUAUGGGGUGUUUAAGUUUUUUGUGUGCUGCAUUUCUUUCUGUUUUUUAAUACCUGGUUUUAUACAUAUCUAACUCUGUUCUUUGUUGGUUGUUCAGAAACUGGAUUAUUUUCUCUUAAGCAGUGCUUAAUUUGUGUUUUUAAAUUUCAUUUCAGAAGUAGUCCCAACUCAUAAGUAUCCAUACUGUUAUAUCCAGAACAUUUGUCCUCUGUCAGCUCUCAUGUACAUAUGGGAUAGAAACCACGGAGUUAGGCACUUCCUGGCUUUUUUUUUUUUUUAAUGAGAAAAAUACUGUAUUUAAAAUGUAAAAUAAACUUUUAAAAAGCAGGCACUAA